GUGAUUAACGCGAAGAACCUUACCUACCCUUGACAUGUCAGGAAUCCUGGAGAGAUUCGGGAGUGCCCGCAAGGGAGCCUGAACACAGGUGCUGCAUGGCUGUCGUCAGCUCGUGUCGUGAGAUGUUGGGUUAAGUCCCGCAACGAGCGCAACCCUUGUCAUUAAUUGCCAUCAUUGAGUUGGGCACUUUAAUGAGACUGCCGGUGACAAACCGGAGGAAGGUGGGGAUGACGUCAAGUCCUCAUGGCCCUUAUGGGUAGGGCUUCACACGUCAUACAAUGGUCGGUUCAGAGGGUUGCCAACCCGCGAGGGGGAGCCAAUCUCAGAAAGCCGAUCGUAGUCCGGAUCGCAGGCUGCAACUCGCCUGCAUGAAGUCGGAAUCGCUAGUAAUCGCGGAUCAGCAUGUCGCGGUGAAUACGUUCCCGGGUCUUGUACACACCGCCCGU
rnacentral:rRNA from 1 species